rnacentral:antisense_RNA from 2 species
UCAGUUGUAGAGAGUUUCCCUUCCGGGCUGAGUUACCAGCUCGCACCGGAACCGUAAAAAAGCCGACCUCACCAGUCGGUUUUUUUAC